GCCUCGGUGGCGGAAUUGGUAGACGCAUGCGACUCAAAAUCGUAUGUCCGUAAGGACGUGUGGGUUCGAUUCCCACCCGAGGUA
rnacentral:tRNA from 1 species